UACGGAGGGUGCGAGCGUUGUCCGGAAUCACUGGGCGUAAAGGGCGCGUAGGCGGCCUGAUAAGUAGGGGGUGAAAUCCUGCGGCUUAACCGCAGGGCUGCCUUCUAAACUGUCAGGCUAGAGCACAGUAGAGGCAGGUGGAAUUCCCGGUGUAGCGGUGAAAUGCGCAGAUAUCAGGAGGAACACCGAUGGCGAAGGCAGGUCUCUGGGCCGAUACUGACGCUGAGGAGCGAAAGCGUGGGGAGCGAACAGG
rnacentral:rRNA from 1 species